UCGCAUAAGGGACUGGGCUGAUUUUCUCGUUUCGUUUUAUGGUUUUUCCCUGCUCGUUUUGUGGUCGCAAGAAAAACCCUAGCCCAUUCCCGUCCGCAUCCCUGCUGCCGCCGCCGCCCUCCCAGUUCCCUCUGCUCCUGCUGCUUCCCUCCACCUCUCCCUCCUCCAUGCCGUCAGGGGCGCCCCUCAAGCCCCACCUCAUCGGUUCCUCACCCCGGGCUCCUUCUCCCCCGCCCAUGCUGCUCUCUGUGCGCGGUGACCGGACAGAGGAGGAAGAUCAGGAGGGCCGCAGGGAUGAAGGAGGAGGUAGAGCCGUUCACGUCGCCGCCGCCGUCUUCCUCGCCCUCACCAUGCGGGCCGCAGCGCUCCACCUCCUUGGCAUCUCCGUCUGGUCUACAGAUGAUGAGAAAUAAGGGACGGAAGCAAGAUGUGAGGAUGUGGAGACGCUAUGUUGCCUUCAUCCCUGGCCUUCUUCUUGGCGUGUACUCGUUGGUCAUGCUCCGCUUCCUCCACUCCCACCUCUCGGCCUCGACACCUCUGCGUAUUUCUCCAUCACUCUCUUGCAGGUACUCACUCUACUCCUCCUCUGCUUUCAGUUAGUCUGCAAUUUUUUCAUCCUUGCUUAUGUAGGUUAUUGUUGAAAUCCAACAAGGCCACUGUGGAACUCAGUGAUUUGUUUCUCAAAUACGUCUGUGUUGUGUGAUUUGCUAUGCAAGCUAUAUAUGGAUAAAUUGCAGGGGAAAUAUAAUUGUGCUGGAUUGUUCGAGACAUCCAUCACAUAAUUUUCUCAGAUUUAGAACUCAUGCAGAUGUUGUUAUCUUUUCAGGUAUGUGCUGAGAAUCCUAGGUGCGGCGACCUCAACAAUGUCCCAUCGUUGCCGGCGGUCUCCUAUAUGCUCCUGCGGAAUAAGUUCUUCCUGACCACCUCGACACUCACCGCCGCCGAGGAAUCCAGGGACAAGACUACUUCCAAGUUGCUCAUCCGCCUUCAGGAUGCACACAUAAGGCUGGUUUGGUGAUUCCUAACAGAAAGAAGUAAACCAUUGUUGAUGUGUCCUCUAAGGUGCAGACGGUGGGCUCUGCGUGGUCGAACCUAAGUUAGUUCCUUUCAAGGGCUAAUACCAAUGAGGUGUACCAGGUGCGCUGGCUCAUGCCACCGCAUCCACCGACAGCAAGGUGGAGAAUGAGGCGCUCAAGGAGAGGGAGACCAGGAUGGUGCUUGUGUCUAUACGGUGACAGCGUGGACCUCUUCUUCGCAGAGAGGACGAAGUUGCAUGUCCCAAAUCGUUAGGGGCUAGGCUGUUUCCGCGUCGAGGAGUUCAUUUUGGCAGACGGAACUUUUGAAAGCUAGAAUAUUUUGGUGAAAUGUGAAGGGCUGCUUCAGUUUACCCAUAGUGUUAUUUCUAGAUGAACAAGGAGUGGUGACAUUGUGAGAUGGUGAAGCCAGAGCAUUGUCGAUGAAACUAGCCGAGGAGGAAUUGUGAGUUCACCUCCCUCUCCUUUGCAUCGGUUGUAUUUUCUCUCCUCUUUGUGCCCAUAUAUGUUAUGUUUCCCCGGGUCGGUGUGAAGUGAGCACGCAGUUUGUCAUCGUUCGUCAAUCGUCCGUCCUGUUCGUCUUCACUUCGUUCGAUGUGCCUUUCCGUUGCGGAGGUGUGUUUUGUUGUUUUAUCUUGUUGCACUUGUUAAUAUGAAAUCACGUCUUAAAGGAUUCAGAAGGUUAUACUUCAGUUUAGUUAUUGUGUUCUUAAGAUUUCUAUACGAACUUUACUCCUUUCUACAAGACUAGCCAUCAAAUCAUGAUAACUGAACCAUUGAAAAACUAUAGAAGGAUUAGUGGCAAUAAAACCUUAGGUUAGUUCUACCCUUUAUUUUGUUAUAAUUCCUCUGUUCUGGUAAUGAAAAAGAUGACCACACAGAUUAAAGGUUUAGAAACUAUAAAAGGAUCUGAACAUGAAGCUUAAUCUGCUGAAUUUUCACUUCAGUAGUCCCUCGGCUUCGAGAGUAUACGCAAUAUUUGAUUGUUGCUUCUCAAUGAUGCUACCAAAAAUUGGACACCCUGGCGUCGGAGAGACGGACCAGGAGGCCGAGCAGUCCGUGGUGUCGCCGCCGUCGUCCUCAUCCCUCGUGCGUGGUGACGGAGAGAGGCGAUCCGUCUGGAGCUCGAGUAUAGUUGACCGCGUCUCUUUUCUUUCUCUUCUUUCGCACGUCUCUUUUUCUGUAGCUGUUUGAAGGCUUAUGAUGCAUGGUCACUGACUGUAUUGGAGAUGUAACAUGGUUUGUUAGGUUCAGCCAUUGUGCAAUCUGCACUAACAGGCAUGUGCCCAGCUAAGAGCAAUCUGUAGGAUAUAAUCUAGGAUUUGCUGCAAUUAUCUGCUUCAAUUUAUAGGAGCCGCCUCCUCUUUUACUGAUAAAAACUGGUCGGAGGGGAUCUGCUUUUUCCCCUGAUCUUCUCCGCGAUUGGGAGCCUGAGCCAUGGCUGACCCAUUCACUGCUGGUCUCGGCAGCACCCAAAUAUUCACACAUAUUGGUGAUAGUCUGAUAUGCCUUUUGGGAUUUGCAGUGUAUGUGGAUCUUGGCAGAGCAGAGUCACUUAACCCUGUGAGUCCAUUAUAUCAUGCAUGUAGUGAAUGCGUGCAUCCAGUCAGUGAAUAAUGGUUGUAACGAUAAGUUUGUGUAUUUGUUUUAUUGAUCAAUGUGUGCGCCGCACGCUGAGUAACCUAACUUCUGAAAGUUAUGGCUGUAGUUACAAGUAUGCACUAGCAUAUUGGUUUGUUUUCCGAUUCUGGUGGGAUUAUGUCUUCAUUGUAUUUCCCAACAUUUAUAACUGGUUACUCUUAAUUUGUUAAUUGCUUUGCAAAAUUUUCUGUGAUGAACUACGAUGAUGAAAGUUGUACUGGGUAAGUUAGUUUUCCUGAGAACUUACCAUGGGUCAAACUAGUAUUAAGUUAAUCAAGUUGUUUGAAAUGAUAUUAGCAGACAUGACUUGCUUCAUGUUGGUUUUGAAUUCUACUCAUUGUCAGUUCUCUUUUAGUCGUUUUGUUUCAACGAGUGCCUACAAGGUAUCUGCGGAGGUUAACUGAAUUAUUUUCCCAUUUGAUGUGUGACAUCCGUAAAUAGCUACUAGAGAUAAUUACUAGAUUAUAUCACUAUGUUGAAGUUCUCUUAAAUUAUCAUGCUCUGUCCACGAGUUGGAUCACUUGUGUCUUCUGGAUAGUUGUUGCUUGAGUUUAAUUUUACAUUGUGCUUAUGAGAUGAUAGUUAUACCUUACAUGAGAUCCAUCAUUCAUAUUGUUGUUUCUUCACACUAUUUCUGUUAAAAUCUACAUUUCUUCUGUACAUGAAGUCAAAUAGUCAAUAGUUGUUGGAUCAUUCAGGUUUUCCUUUUCUUUGUUGUACUAUAUGAAGUGCGUAUAUUUUUAAUCAUUACACCGAUUUUGCCGACAGUGCCGGCAUACAUGUCCCUUUCGUCAUUGCCAUCAUCCUAGCAUCUAGAGGUAGAUCAAACGUUCUAUAAAAGAUCCCAGGCCUCUUUUUCUCUCAUCAAAUUUGAGAACAUUUUUUUUAGGUCUGUCAUCUAUUAUUAUGGUCAUAAUUUGAUCUCUUGAUAGAAGUUAAAUGAAGGGGGAACACCUGUUUGGAGGAGGGAAACAAGUACAUAAUAUAUUUUUCUUUCCUUCAUUUGUGCCCUCUAAAUACUUGUCAUUUCUUUGGCAGGUUAGAGAGUACCAGGGAUACAACAUCAUUUUGAAAAUCCGAAUUUGGCUAAUCCAUGUGUACUGGACCUGUUUUUGAAGUUGUUCUGUCUCAUUUUUGUGAAGGUGGGGCUGUGCAUUUGAUUGGAUUUUGUGGUGGCCUGGUUGGGAAAAGGAAGGUGCAUCUAUUUUUGUUUGCUUCAGUUCUCCCUUUUGGAUUGAGUUGUUGCUAGCUUGCCAUGAAGUUCCUUUACUUGAUAAGAAAUUUUAGUUUGAAAUAUGUGGUCAUUGGGAGUUCAGAAAAGGUGGCAAGCAGGGAAGUCACUACUUUGUACUUGUAUUGUUUCCUUUUACCCAAGUGCCUUCAUACGAUACUAAGUAUUUUUCAGUUUUACAUCAUUCGUUGUACUAAACCACAACAGUACUACGGACUUGCAUGUACCAGUGCUUCAUAUAUGUCGUACUCUGACUGAUGAAAUAACAUCACAUAGUGCAUACAAGAAAGUGAAAAGGACGCUUACCUAACUGGCACCGCCGAGUUUCCUCUCAGGAGGUGCCCCCGAGGGCAGUGGCGGAGCUUCUCAGGGGCCAACCUGGGCCGUUGCCCCCCCAGCCCAUGAAUUUUUUCUGAAAUACCCCUUAGUAUUUGGCCCAUAUCUCAAGCAAAAUCAGCCCAAAAU